GAUCCCUGGCUCAGGAUGAACGCUAGCGACAGGCUUAACACAUGCAAGUCGAGGGGCAGCACAGGUAGCAAUACCGGGUGGCGACCGGCGCACGGGUGAGUAACGCGUAUGCAACUUACCUAUCAGAGGGGGAUAACCCGGCGAAAGUCGGACUAAUACCGCAUGAAGCAGGGGCCCCGCAUGGGGAUAUUUGCUAAAGAUUCAUCGCUGAUAGAUAGGCAUGCGUUCCAUUAGG
rnacentral:rRNA from 1 species